AGCCUUCAUCCCUCUCCACACUUCUCUUUGCUUGUACCAGGAAACCACCUGAAGUGUGGGAAAUCUUUUGCUGGCAUGGGUGGGGAGUGCUCGUGGCCCUGGUACGUGCCCUCCAGAAGGUGCAACAAGGGUCUGCGUGUGUUUUUCAGGAUGCUUUUAAAGGGAUCUGUGCUCCCUUUUUUUUCUCUCCAGGGAGAAAGAGGAAAGGAGGUUUUAAGUGGAACUAUACAACUCCCUAAUAAGCAAAAAUGUAUUAUCCCCAUGAGAACUGGGUUUCCAACAACAGAAUAUAAAGAUCUGUCCUUCCAAGCUUGUCUGUUGCCCAUGACCCAGGGAGAUGAGCAGACUGAGAAGUCUUAACUUUGAUAUGAUUAUUUUGAACUCAGUAUGGAUAACAGCGCACACUUCUUCCACGCUGAAGUCUAUCCUUAGGAAAGAGCAAAGCGUCACAGGCUUGAAUUCUCCGAAGCUUUUUGGUGACUUGUUAGGUUGGAUUUGUUCUACAUGUGCCAUCCAUCCCUGUGUAGAUAGAAACAAUCUUUAUUAAAGAUUAAGCACUUGAAGUAAUCCACUGAUACAGUGCAGGUGAAAGGAAAGGCUGUGUUUAUCUGUUAUUUAUUAGGGAAACUUGUGCUGAAGAUUCCUAAAGAUCUCUCAUGGGUAGAUUUUUCUACCCCCUGAUAAAGAUGUUGCUGGUCCAUUUUGCUUAAGCUAAGGUAGAAGAAUAUUUAAUUAUGUUUACUAAUAUAGCUUUACUUCCUUGUCAGUCUGAGGUCACAUAAUUUACCUUGCACAUAUGGCCUGGAUUAGCCCUUGGACAUAAUUCCUUUAGUUGGAGCUGGGGACAACAUUAUUCUUUAAAACUUGCCUGUUUUCAAGCAAGCAAAAUGCUUCCUAAACUGAAAAGCUCAGACAAAAUUUCCAAAACCAUGUACGGUUUUGUGAGGACUGUCUUGCUUUUAGGAUAAGCUUGCAAAAUAGCUAUUUUUCCCUUGUUCUGUGGGGAAGUGGAGGUUUUUUCCCCUAUUUAUUUUGUAAUGCAUUUUUUUCAAGUUGGAUAGUAGAUGGUGGGCCAACUUCUGGUUGUAAAUUUCUGGCUGUUUGAGACUAUCAUGUUAUUAGUUGAGUAGAAGCUGUUCUUGCUCGUUUUCCUCAAGAGUGGCUAGUAGUGUUUCUGCACUGUCUACAAGUGAGGCAGGCAUCCCCCACACAAACUUUUGACAGCAAUUGGAAACGGAGUCCUGGGGCUCCCCCCUGCAAAGUAGUCAGAAGGCCGUAUAUCAGCCCCCGCAGUGGGUCUCCAAGACCUGGAGAACUAGUAGCUGUCUCUAAAGAUGCAGGAAUGGAAAGAGGGGUUUAUAAGCAAGAAAAAAGAUAUUUUAAGGUAAAUGGGGAAAAAUAAAGCCAACUGUGGAUGUAAUUGAGGGCAGUAUUGCCUGGGAAUUCUCCAUAUGACUAUUGUUUUCAUAGCAUCAUUCCACCAAAGAGUUGGGUUGGCUCCAUAUAUUAGGAAACAGUGCAGUGGUGCUAAACAGAGGUUGGAAGCUCCUGAUGUAGCUGUUGGUACCACAAGAGGAGGACACAUCUGUAUAACCUUUUGCUCGAAUUUCCAUUCAUCAGGAGUGCCAGAUUUCUGCUGAUUCACAGGAAAAUAAGUUUUGUUGCUGCUAUUGUAACUGCUUUCUCCUUUCUUUGCGGAGGACUUCUGAUGAUGGGAAGACUAGAAUAGCUGGCUUGGGAUUGAACAGAGUUUUAAAGUCAUUUAAAAAUCCUUUUUAUAGCUUUAAAAGAAAACAAGAGGCUUUGCUCCAGGGGUGGGAUGAAGUCUAACAGGUCUGUGUGGAGUGGUGUUAUUCUCGCUAUGCUUCCUGGUAUUUCUAUUGUUUUGUUUUGUUUUAAAUUCCAGCAAGUUCAAUGCUCAGUCUGGGCUGUAGCAAGCACCGUGCCAAUGACAUAACAUUUAGAGCCGGUUUUGUCAGCCCGCGAGGCUUGGUGCCUCUCCAGCCCGCAGAGUGUGUCCGAGGGCCUGAAUUUUGCACAGCGGGGCUGUGUCGUGCUGCACGCAGAGAGGUCCAGCACGGAGGGCCCAGCGCUGCCCCAGCAAAUGGCAUUCUCGUAUACAAGCCGUUCUGUUUUCUUCCAAUAAAAGUAUGCUCUCUCCUCCCUACAAAAUGGUGCCUUGUCGAAGACGACUGUGCAUCUAACUAGGGACUGGGUUUCUCAGUCUACCAGCAUGUAUAGCUACUUCAGAGACACGGAGUUUGAAUCGUGUGUUCAGGAGCUCAUGUGGGGCCAUUGCAUGGGGUAACUUUUCCAUUUGCUGCUUCUGUUCAUGCAACGGGAAGAAAGGACUUCCCCUAUGUCCCCUGUCAUCCUCUUCCCACAACUUCUGCCUCUGAAGUGCCCUGUCUUCCUGACACCCACCCAAGCGAGUGCAGCUCUUACAGACUCAGUCCCACAGUGAGGAGAGACUCUAGGUUUUGCCAAAUGCAGAACUGAAACAGCAGCUUGGCAGGAACCAUUAUUUUGCUGGCAGACCAUUGCUGUCUCGUUCCUUGUUCUGGAAUUGCUUGGUGUAGGCCAGUGAGGGGAACUCAUCAGGGUUAUCAAGGAUUUUAUUUAUGCUCUGCGAAAGCUUUUACUUUAGAAGAUGCUUCAUGCCUCUCGGUGAGUUUCUGGUGACCAUAUUUCCAACAACAUUUUCAGCCCAAAAGAACCCAACUUGAGCUGAAGCACGCUGGGUGCGUGUCCCCUCCUAAAUGCCUUUACAUCUGCCCAAGCUGCUGAACGAGACAACCCUAUGAACCAUUUAGCGCAUAUCCCCAACACAGCAGAUGAGAGAGCAGCCCGUCCAAGCUGACCAAAGGUUUAGGGAGCCACAGAGGGAAGAAAACCUUAUUAUCCAAGCUGAGCAGUGGAAAUCCAUGCACACACACAAAUCAUUUUUCACGUAUGUGGUCAAGGCUUUUGUAUGCCUCAUCUCAGCAGCAUUUCGAGCCCUCGUUCCGAAGAACCGUCCUUGGCAUUUCUUCCUUUUGUGAUCCCGAACAAAGCUUGUCCCAGCUGAGUCACUAGCACAGCAUAGAGCUUGGAGGCAAAUUGCUUUCAGAUAUUACAUAUUCCCAGGUUCUUGCCAGUGCCUGCAGCUUCCUUGAUUUAUCACCACUCUAAAUCCACAGUUGCUUUGCUGAACUUGACUGGGUUUUUUGUUUGUUUUCUCUCCUCCUGAGGCUCCAGCUUAAAGGCAGUUGGUUGGGUUGUAGUUCCCUGACCAGCUGUCUCAGACAGGAGCAUGAACGCUGGCUUGGGACACCAGAGGAACGAAUCCUGCUUUUCCUGGGGCCAGGAUACAGUGCUAUUGGCAAGCUUCAAAUCACCAAAGCGAGCAGCUGAUGCUCGGGUUUAGAAAAACAUUUGUUGCCUUCAAAAUAAAUCUAAUAUUCUUAGACUCUGAGGCACUUUGGUGGGUUGAGGCUGCCACUGCUUCUCAGUGCUGUUAUGCUGUUAAUAUGAUAACUCCUAAUAAAGCAAACAACCAAAAUCACAGAGGGUUUUUGUAGUCCGAAAUAAACUUUGAACUUCUUGUCUGCUGGUACUCAGUCCUUUGGCCAGCAAGGAAGUUUUCAUUCCCAGCUUCAUUUCUAAAUACUGGCACUUCAUUUUGUCAGUGUUUCAGACAUCACUGCCUAUGGAUUUUUUUUUUUCACUUUCAUGGCCCACAUGAAGUAGAGAAGCAGAUUUUGAGUGGGAGGUAGUCUAAAGAAUUUUAUUAUUCCAGGUCAGAAGUGGACCCAGAGAAUUUCAGUUCUCUUGUGAGGAUGGCUGUAGGUCCUGCAUCCAUUAUUUGCUUUGUUAACAUGAGAUUUAAUGUGCAUCUGUGAGAAAGGGAUGGGAAAAUAAGUCGUUUGUAAUACAUUAUAAAUGUUGAUUAAAGCUGCAUCCAGCUACUAAUAAAUCAGCAGCAUUUGUUUUAUUGCUCCCUAAAUCCAGUAAUAGCUCCAGAAUAGCUCUUUCAAACCAUAGUUCAGUGCCUUUUGGAAGAGACAUACAGAAUGACUUGCUUAAGUGCUCUUGCUCUGUACCCUAGCCCCUCCAAAAGAGACAGGUUUGUUCCUAUUUUUCCUUUGAGAAAUGCAUAUUGCAAUGAAUAACCCAUUCAUCUCAGCAAAACAGGAAGUCACUUUCCAAACCCUUCAGUGCUUUACUUGGAGUCUUUCUCUGGAAAGAGCAUCAAAUUGCCCUGGUGGAUUCAGACUGGCUGGUGUCACUGGAUGAGAAGACUGAAAAGUUUUUUCAAUAGUACAAAUAGUUGCACUUUAUGUUGGGAGCUUCAGCACACUUCUCUGACUUUUACUCUGUAAAAUUUGAAUGGCUCUUAGGGAGGAAAAGAUCCCCCCUGCUUUGAGCCUGCCUUCCUCUGUGGCAUCGGGACUCAUGUCCUUUGCGGGUUGCUGUGUGUCCCAGUAACUUUUGAACCACUUGGCCGGUUUCCAAUGUAUUUGACAAAGGAGGAAACAUCUUGGUGCUAAUUGCAUUCCUAAAGGCCCCGUAAAACCAGGUAGUCAGAGAGAGGAGAGGCCCUGGUGAGAGCAUCACAUGUUUGCCUCUGAUGAAGAGAGGCUGAUUUGCUGGAGCCCAAGCUUCAUUAAUUUCAGUUUUGGGGUUUUUUUUGUUUCUGGCUUGGAUUUUUUGUUGUUGUUUUUUGAAGUGCAGCAUGUUCUGUGUUUUGGUCUGUCUAGUGAAGCUUCCUGUUAAUCGUCAUUGCUGUUAUCCUGGAUGCCCACGUGGGUAUAAUUUGCCAGUUCUUCAGCCCAGGACUGUUUCUUUGUUUUGACUGCAAAGCAAGAUUGCAACCUCUAAGCACUACCAGGGUGUAAGUAAAGACUGAUCAGCAUGUUGUGAACUGUUUCUCCCCUUAAAAAUCUCAUCCUGAUGAUCUAUGCUUAAUGAGCAGCAAGGCAGAUUGCUGAUUUCAGUGCAGCUUGGUGGGAUCAAGUCUUUUGUAGUUUCUCUUGUCCAUUUAAAAAAAAAAAAGACAACAAAUCAGAUUUAUAAAGACUUUGUAAUUGUCAAUUAAACCCUUCAACUCCUCUGUAAGUCAUAAGCAACGGAGCGCAUAUUUAGCGGUUAUGGUAACUAAAGAUAGUAGCUGGCUGGCUAAAGCAUGGAGGAAUCAUGAUACACAGGAGUCCUGCCUUGCUUGUCUGUAUGGUAUUUCCUGUGAUACAGAAAAAUAGUGUCAGCAAUAAAGUGUCAGAUAUAAGAUUUAUGAAAACAUGCAAGUGCCAAAAUCACUUUUGAAAGGGAAUAUAGGAGUUCACAGCUCGGUGGAAAUCCAUGGCUCAUGUCACAGAGAAUCUGUACGCUUGGACCAGCCAACGCGCAGUGCAACUCAAGGGCUCCUGCCCUGCGGAAAAACCGCUUCACAAACUGCUGAGGAUGCACAAGUCCUUCAGAAACUUGGUACUUAUUUCCGAGUGCUUCCCUUUUCUUUUUUUAUUAAAUGGGGAAGAGCUGUAAGUUUUUAGCUUACACUGAUGCUCUGUGACAUAGGUCUCUUGUUUAACUCAACCGCAAAUUAGGAAUCUCAGUCCUGCUUUUGCAAUUUGCUUUUGCAGUUCCCAGUGCUGGGCACCAUAAAAACAUUUAGUAACUCCAUCUUUGCAGUGGGUGUCAUGGGAAGAUGCUUUCCGGUGCUCGUGCUGCAAUUUCUGAUUAGGCAAUAGAGGUGCAAAUGUGUUAUCCUGGCAUUUUCAGAGUAACGCCUAGGUUUGAUGGUACGGCUGAUAUCUCCACCCUGUGACUCGUCCGGAGGCCUGUUACCAGUCCACCAAUUACUGUGGGCUUGGGCAAUUCUUAUGGGAAACGGACCUUUUUUCCACAUUUACUUUUGUAGUUGUGAUUGAUCUGCCCUGUGGUAGUGCCUAGUAUCAGAUCAGACCACUGGUGUGCCAGGGAAGGCUCAGAUGCAAGGAUAAAGUUGAUCCUGGUUUAAAUACUUUUUUUGUCUUAAUUAUCCCCAUUCCUAGCAUGGAAGUCUUUCCCAGAAGCUGCUGCAUUUGAUUAAGAAAGAAAUCAGUGGUAUUUGAUCUGAUAAUCUCUGAGGUAUGGGUGAUGGGCUGAGUGUGGUUUAGGGGAGGGAAAGGGAACUUGUUUGUGUCUGCUGACUCGGAUCCUUUGCAGUGGUUCCAGCGAGUGAUUCAGUAUAAAGCAAAUUUAGCACGUAUCGGAAGGGAACACUGCAGCCUGUGGAAGAAAGAGGCAUUCACAUAGGGAACGGAGCCUAAACCACAUUUGCAAUUUUUUUUCUGUCAUGUCAAGUCUGUUAUCUUUGGUUUUUUUUAUUUUGGGGGAUUUUUUUUUAGUUUGUGUAACAGGAUGGAGCCUGAGCACUGAUGCAGGUCGCUGUGUCGGGAAAGCUGGAAAUGAACGGGAGAGGCGAAAGGACCAUAUAAGACGUGGAAGUUAAAAAUAAUUCUUUGGUUAUUGCUAAGUGUUUGUGCAGGGGCUGUUGUAGCAGUGAUUCAUGCAGCUGCCGAGGGAAAAGGGCGCUGUGGCUGCGCUGAAGCUUUCCUUUAGCUCAGCAUACAGCUCCUCUGCAGAGGUAACCAGCCGGGGGGGGACUGGGGGUCACAACUAUUAAGGGAGUUUUGGGGCUUAUUUUGCUGACCCAAGUCGUGUCUCAGCUCGGGACACCGCUGCACAGUCUGGUGGCACCAGCUGCUUCGUUAGAGGUCACAGACCAAGUAAUUAGCAGUGGGUCAGGGCUGCUGGAUGCCCAACAGCAGGGGCCACUGGGGACGGGAGGGCAGUUUGGGGUAAGCUGAACCCAGAAAAACACACUGGACCAAAGACUGCUUUUUUGUUAUUAAGGGUGACUUAUAGGACUCUGUGUGUCUCUUUUCUUUCUCUCUCUGCAUCCUCAUUACCCUGGGAAAAGAGGCAGAGAGUGAAAUUGGAGGCUGCAAACUGGAUGAGGUUGGGCUAGAAAAUAAAUAAGUAAAUAAAAUGUAUAUGUGUUAGGCUGUAUGGGGUGCUGUGUGCCCAUAGCUCCUCCUUAUCAAUCAGCAAACCUGGUUUCACACAUCUUUAGAUCUUCUCCCCGCAGAGCCUCUGGCUGGUCCAGAGGGAUGUCGUGGGCAGAAUAAGUAACAAGGAGAUGGGGCUCCGGUAUUAGCUGUCUUUUAAGAUGUGGUCCCAUGAAGAGGCUCAAGAGUCGCUCGGGCUGCAAGUUUUCCUGGAGCUUCAUAGAAUUUUUUUUUCCUCGCUGCAUUUCCCUUCCGUCUUGGCUUUUAUUGCCAGCAGAAACGGCUCAAUAAAAGCCCUUCCUGGAGAAGUCUGUAUGCCUGAGAAGAAACAGAUCAAAAAAUAUCACAGUGAAUGAGAAAGAGGAAAAAAAUAAAACUAUGACUGAUUGUGUUCCCUUCUACUUGUAGCCCAUAAACAUCACCAAAGCAGCUACGGGCUGAGGCUGAAGCACCUAUGCCUUGUUUAAGAGAGGGUUUGGAGGAUGUCCUCAGUGCCUGUUGGGUUGGUAUCCCUCCUCUGCGUACCCAAGCUGUAUGUUCUCCUUGAACUAAUGAAAUGUUUUGGCUCCGGUGGGAAUUUAUAAAGGCGCUGCAAAAAUUUCAUAAGAAACCCAAAUGUGGGGCCUCCCCUGUUGUCUUCCUUUUUCUGGGUUAAAGUGUUAAGCCGGGCAUGUUCCAUUUACUCUCCUCACAUGGAUUAACAUAAAGAAAUGUAAGGUUUAGGUCAGCUCCAUUUACUCCUGCCAUGUGAUUUACUAUAAAGAAAUGUAAGGUUGAGGUCAGCCCCAUUUACUUUUGUCCUGUGGAUUAGCACAAAGAAAUGUAAGGUGGAGGUCAGCUGGGGCAGGCAGGUCUUUAGGAUGUAAUGAGGAUUAAUUGGAACAGCAGUAAACCGAAUCCACCUCAGUGCUGAUCAGGCGAGCAUUGCUCUUGCUCUGUGCGCGGGGUUCCCCCGCGGGCCGUGUUUAGCCCUGCGCCUCGGACGACUCGGCUGCGCGGGAACGUCUGAGCCCCAAAUCGGGAAAAGCUCCGCUGCUUUCCUGCAGCGUGUUUGUAUAAACCGGCUUUUUCUCCUGAUGUAAGAUGUUGAUAUUCAUGCAUUCCUGUGUAAACUCCUGCAAGGCAGCACGGUUAGGAAGGGCGGCCCAUGCGCGCUUGGAGGCUCCGCUCGCUCCGUCGCUGAAAUGCAGCUGCUGCUGGGGGAGAGCCGGCAGCUGCCCCUGGCCCCGCGCGGUGCUGCGGCGGCCGUGCCCUUAAAACACUCUGGGGAGGCAGAACGUGACUGCCGAAGCGGCGCUUUGGAAAAUGACUCCCCAGGCAGGGAAGGAACCGCAGAGCCUUCCGUUGCCCCCAGGGGCCGGGAUGCUGGUUUUUAGGACUUGCUCCAUGAUGGGACGCUGGUCGCCACAGCCUUGGAAGCGCCUGAUGCGCUGGAUCGCCAGCGUUGCUCCUCGCGUGCCGUCCUUAGAGGUCAGCCCGGCUCGGGGAAGCGUCUCGUGAUGUCUCAGCUCCGAGGGCAGCACUCUGUCGAAGCUCUCAGCUUUCAGUGGGGAACGUCAUCGAGAAACUCUGCUCUUCGCACGGCGUGGAGAGGAUGAGAAACCACAAGGACGCGUGUGGGGUCCAGCAGCUGUGUUCACUCACGGCCGGCCAACGCAGGCGACCAGGAGGCCCCUGGGCUCCCAAAUUGCAGGACAGCUCUCAGCACCAGCCCCAUCCUCGUGCCCUUCGUCAGGCACGGCCCGGCCGGGCACCGGUCGGUGGAGAAGUGGUUCAGGCCCCAAGCCAUUUCCCUGUCGCUCCCAACAGCUCCUUUUCUCUUUGCGGGUCACCUUAAGGUCUCUGUCUUUCCAAACCAGUUCUGCAGUGCUUCACGUGUAGUCCUCAGUGUGCUCAUCUCAAGGAGCUGUGGCCUUACAGAGAGGGGCUGAAAGCUGCGUGGGAGGCGUUUGGACGCAUCUGAGGUUUGUCUUCGUGAAGCUUUAUUUCCCUGGCACGUGAGCGCUCAGUGGCUCCCGCAGACGCGGUAUGAUGCUUCCUGUACGCGCACGGCGGCACCGGCGCUGAGCGUUCCCGGGAGGAGCACGGAGGAGAUGCAGAUGGCCCUGGUUCUGCGGUGGGACUUGUCACAGGAGCGCUGGAGGUACUCGGUACGUUUAUUUUGCACACACCAGUUCAAGAGUCCUCUUGAAAGCACCGUGCUGCUUCCCCCAGGGUGACAUUUCCCCCCUCCCCAGCCUCUCUUCUGCUUCCUCUCCGUGUUUGCUAAUUCUUUCCCUUCAGCCUGGUUUCUGUUCCGCUCUCUGUGCGGUUUGAUCCUGAGACGUGUGCUGCUUUCCUCCGGGAGGAUAUGCCUUCCCUGUCCUCCUCCACGCUGGUUCGACAGGCAGAAGUUUGAAGAUCCAGGAUGGUGCGAACCGCCACCGAGCUGGGCAGAGCGUGGCCCUCGCUACCCUGGGGUCAUCAGCCCUCCCGAAACGUUUCCAGCAGUUCUUGUCUCCAAGGGGGCGAGCCGGGGCCUCCGGGCAGCCGGCAAUGCCAGGCGCUGCCUUCCCGGAGCAAGCUGGUUUCCAGCAGCGGUGGUCGGACAGCUUCAUGCAGCAGAGACGCCAACGCUGAAGGAGCCGAUGCGCGCGGCCACAGCCGAGGAUGGGGAGAGGCUGCUCCAUGUCAGCGGCGCUGGGUGCGCAGAGUAGCAGCCCCCGCCCUGCAGGGCAGCCAGAGCUCUCCCCACCGGUCACGGUGAUCCAAGAGGUCUGCAAAGCGGCAGCCUCGAGGGCCCGUGGGCUCGGCUGCCUCGGGCUUGGUUACGGUGAUCAGCUGGAGCGAGGGGGCUCGUUGCAUCGCGAGUGUGCGCUGAGAGGACGCUCUCCGUCUCAACGCCCCGCUGCCCCCACGCAAGGAGCUUUCUGCCCCCAGCCUUUUUACGCAUUUGCAAGCCAACGAGCGGUCUCUCUGCCGGGGAGCAGCCCCAGCACUGUUUGUCCUGCCACUGCUUGAGGUCGGUUUUAUUGGCCUCGGUGCAAUGGCUGUUGACCGCCCAGUCGGCAGUUUGGGGAAGGGUUGGCCCCAAAGAAACCGGCAGUGACCGCUCUGCUGGGGCGCUUGCUCGUGUCUUGGUGCCGGGAGGGGAGACCCCAGCACUCGCUGGGCGAGGGAAGUAAAAGCCUUGGUCCUGUCUUUUUAUUCAGCUGAUACACUUCACUUUUGCAAGAGGUAAAUCUCCUGGCCAGGCUCCGGUUCCUCUGCUGGUGACCACUCCUCUAGGCAGCUCGUCCUGCAAUUGCCCGGGCGAUUGCAACCGCUUGCGCUGCGUUGCCGAAAGCACUUGCCGUGUUUCCUUCCACAGGUGGCUGCGUUUCUGUGGCAGAUAAAUGGUUCUGAGGUAUUAGGCUAUUUAUUCAGUGCAGAUAGUCCUUUGGGUUUCUUUCACAAUAAGCAAAUAUAUUACUCAGUAUUACACCGCUAGGCCUUACUGUAACAUCACUGCGUGUUAAAUAUUACUGAUCUUUGCAUGGGUUUCUCGCAGGAACAUGGAUGAUAUUUCUGUUCUUCUUUCUGUUCAGGGCUGGUUUUGUGCUUGAUACUCCUUAGCGUUUUUGGACAGCAGGUGUAUCAUGCCCUGCCAUGCUUUGCUCAUGCCAAGGUUUUGGUUUUGUUGCUCACACUGAAACAGUAAUUGGUUUGGUCUUUUUGUCCCCAAGUGGAUUGAGCGCUGCUUUGCCAGAGUUUCCGUUCCCUGCACGAAAGGGAAAUACCAUCAUUUUUUACCCUUCUUUCACCCUACCGCGGCUCUCAUUGCUAUCGAAGUCCCUUGCAGCCCUCCCAGGAUCUGGCAGCAAUUCCCUCGAAAACCUAACCACACAGAGUGCUGCUGUUUCUGCCUCUUUUCACUGGUGUUUCUCCUUGUCCUUGAGCAGGCCCUUUGCAACCAUUAAUGCAUGCUAAUGAGGCAUUAAAUACCAUGGCAGAAUUAAAGAAUAAAGAAGUGACGUCUUUACAUCUUCACAGGAGCCAGAGCCCCGUCUGUGGGUCUCUGGUCUUAAAGUGGUACAGUGCGCGUCUCGCGGUGACAGCGCUGCGCGGAUGCACGUCCGCAGACCCCCGCUGCAGCCACCCCCUCCCAUAGCUCUUAACUUCGUGUCUCGGAAGGUAGAAAGCUCCAAAAUGAAGAAAAGCCGAACUUUGAAAACAAAAUGCAUCAGGUACUUGCUCCCCAAAGAUGGAAGGCAAUCCUAAAAUGUUCUCAUUUAAAUAUUCUGGUUUUAUGGCAAGCUUCCCACUCAGUUUGGCAUUUGCAUUUGUUCUUUCUGAUUAUAGUAAUUAACAGAAAUAAACAUUUGGAAACGAAUGCUAUAUUUUGGGUUUAAAGGCAAAUGAAGGCUUAAAACAAGCAGGUGAGUGAAAUUCUGGGUCUCUACGCUUUGUGUUAGCGUGCACUGGCAGCCCCUAAAUAUUGCUUGAUUUGGUUUAAAAAUCGAACGUGAGAACUGAAAGUGAAGUGUAGCAUAAGGUGUGGAGGGUUUUUUCUUUUUUCUUUCCAUUUUGAAUGAAAUCGUGACUUCUUCCAACAUCCUUGGGAAGGGAGAAAUCCAGUCCAGAACUCACGAACCUUUGGUGAACUUAGGCUAGAAUAUGUGCUUGCAUCCAAACACAGAGCUAGGCACGCUCCUGCAGCACGGGGUUUUACAGAGAAAGAAUGUCUCUUUGCUCUGGAGACCACUCCUCUUAAUGAGGUCCAGCUGGAAGGACAUUAAGACCAUACGUGCUUUGGUAGGUGGGAAAUAUCCUGCUUUUCAUUUUAAGGAUCGGCCUGAACUGUAGAGUUUGGCCCUGGAGUUCAGGGAUUUGGGAUCCUGGAUCUUUGUUUUGGAGCCAAGUUUUAUUUUGAGAACGAAUCUUUUUUUUGUGCAUGCCUGCGCGAGCCCCAUCGCUGCUGGCCUGCCUGGCUGCGUGCGCGGCGCCGGCGUCUGUGCCGGUGCCAGGCCUCGACGGUUCGUGUCUGCACCAACGCCGGACCGGGAGAAGCAGCCCAUCCUUCCUGGAGGUCCCUUCGCCUGUGUUUCACCUAACCGAGUGUUUGCCAUUUGUCCCCAACUCCUUAUCUUUGAGUCUUCCAGUGUCUUCAUCGUGGUGAAGGCUCCAGGCUGAAUGGGUCAGUAGUGUGAGCAGACCUGGGCAAAGAGAUAGGACCAAGAGUAAAUAAGUGGGGGAGAAGCUCCUGGUUAUGGACCCAUGGGCAUUUUGCGGUAUUUGGCAGGGUUGGAAGAGCAAAAACUGCUUUUUGCCCAGCAGUUUUCUUUGUCCAGCCUUUUGGGGUGGAAAAAAAAAAAAAACGACUAGAGGUGCAAUGAGGAGGUUUGGUGCCCUGUAAGAGCACCUAGUUCGUUAGGUGUUUGCAGAUGAAAGUCCUCAGUGCUCCUGUGGGGCUGGGAGUUGGCUUUUGUCGGUGUUUGGAAAUGAGGGUGCGAGCGCCGGAGCUGCAGGGAGCCGUGCCGUCCGCCCCGCUCUCCUUCCCGGCCCUCCUUCCCCGUGGGCCCUCUGACCUCCCCUCCGCGCUGAGCGGCGCUUCGAUAACCGGCACCUUACCGAUCUUGAACUUCAGAAAUGCAGUUGGGCUUGUCCCUGGGGCAGCUGCGGGCUCUGGAAGGGUAAUGGGCUGCUGUUUGGAUGCCUCUGCCCGUGGCACGUGCGUAUUUCCCGAAAUUUCUGCCUAGCCAUCACCCUUCUGCAGCAAGUCUCGGGAGAAGGCAGGGCAACGCCGGGCAGGAGGUGGUCGGUGCUGAGCGAGAUCGGGGCAGGAGGUCUGUCUCCCCAGCCAUCUCCUCCUUUCGGUUUUAAAAUGUGGAGCCGGGGAGGUGGUGGGAUGGGGUACGUGCCGUCUCCGAGCGGCGGUGGGAGCGUGGCCGCGGCUGCAGCUGCAGGGAGACCUCAUGCAGACCUGCAGCAGAGGGGAUGGAGGUCGGUGUGAAAUGGGCAGUGGCACAGAGCCCGUUUGGGGUUAGGAGGAUGGCAGGAUGGACCAGAAGGGAGGACACAGAGCGUCCCCCCCGCCUUCCCAUCUGCCUUAGGGAAUAAUACCAAUUUUCAGCAGUUUCCACAGCUCCUCCUGCAUAAGGCUCUUCCAGGCAGCCGUGGUGAAACCACAGCACUCUGGAUGAGCGUGUGCCCCAGUCUGUUCGGUGUCGUUUGAAGGGGUCGGGGCACCCUUCCCAGUGUCCUUCUCCUGGGAUGAAGCACUCGCUGUCCAGGAGGCUCCGGCAGCAGCAGCCGCCCGGUAUCGCUCGGUGCAUCAGUAGCGGAGUUAGCAGUAGGACCUCAAAGCUCCAAUUCCCAGCCCCGUGCCGCCGUCCAAAAGGCCACGUGUAGGAGGCUCAGCUGAGACACUAAUGUAAGCAGAAGUCAAGAGAUUUGUGGAGUGUUGAACUUAUUUAAAAAAGGAAAAGAAAAAAGGCUUCAUUUUAAGAAGUGCAGCUUUAGAUCUCCUUCAGGAAAUGACUCCGAGCUGCCCAUUUUGGCUUUCUGAUGUAUCAUCAGCCGUAUCUCGUGAUUACACUUCAGCUCCACUUCUGUAGCAUGGAGGACGAAAAUGAGAAAAGGCUGGCUGGACCUGCCGCAGGAAAUCCAUUCUGCCCCAAGAUAAGUUUCAGCUGCCUUCAUGAGACAGCAGUUUCUAAAGCUGUUUUUCUUCCUGCAUAGUUUUCAUUUAACCUAAAAGUUCCCAAGUGACUGAGAAACUGAGGGGGGAGGAGGUUUGGGUUUUCUUUUCUUUUUUUUUUUUGAAAUUGCAGUGUUGCAACUUGUGGGAUCCUGACAAUAAUGUGCAGUUAGUGACAUGGCUUGUGGUACCCAAGGCUGAACUAACAGCUCAAACAGGGAUUUAGUUCUUCACCUUCGGUUCCAUUAUUCUGCAUCUCUAGCAUAAUUUAUUUUCCAUGAUAGAACUGGUGAACUCAACUAAUGUUGGAAUUGAAAUAAAGGUUUAUUUAAAACCUCAUCUAUUCUUGGCCAAACCCGUAUGCUUUGUAGUACAGCAAUCCACUGAAACCAGUGCAGUGGCAAGAUGCACAGAUCCAUGGUCUCUGGUAAAAUUGAUGUAUAUAAAAGCAGUGUUUACUUGUUAUUAAUCUUUUAGUGUUUCGUUGUUUCAGUAUUGUUUUGUGGAUAAGUGAAUUUGGGCAAGUUCCCUUCUGGUGUAAAUGGAGACAGUCCAUGGAUAUGUUUCAAUUCACACAGAAAACUUGGACCCUUGACGUUUGUCUUUUUGUGUUUAUAUAGUAACCUUCUUUUAACAAAGAAGUUGUUAUGCUCUUUAGUCUUCAAGAGUUGGCUGGGAUGCUCCUACCAGCCUGCCUUCCUCCUUUUCGUUGCCAAACCUGAAUGAUCAGGGGAAUGAAUGCUAAUACCAUCCCCACUUCUUAAAAUUUCCUGCGCUCCCGUGCUCUCCCUCGCUUUCUGUCGGUGCUGAAACAUCUGGCAGCGCUAACCCGCCGUUAACCUGCGAUGUGCUGCGUGUCGACGGACCUACAUCGCAUGACGCGUUUAUGUGCGCUGCUGGAAGGCAGGCAGACGCUGGAGCUUGUGGCUUAUUUGAGUCAUGGAAAGAGAUUAGUGGGAAACUGGAUGAUUUAUUUGCCUGAGCAGGCACUGUUUCUAACCAUAGCCCUUUUCCAAACGGAAAGGUCUAAGUUUUCCAAGUGUUCAAAGCUCCUUCCGCUCCCCUUCUUCCUCCCACUCAAAAUGUGCCAUUCCCAGGGCCUCGGAGGAGUAUUUACUUCUGCGCCAUAGACCAAGGACAGACAUCAGAUACACUGAAAAAUGGGCCAGUGAGAUGCAAAAGCAGUGCUCGAGCAGUGCCCUGCGUCGGCAUUCAAGUAACCAAAAUGACAGAAGCAAACAUAGAGAAUUUGGAAGGUCCUGACCCAAGCAACGUCUGGAUGCGAGCCUUAGGACAGUGGCACGAAAAUACGUCGCUUGAUUUAGUGAAAACAAACCGAAAUAUGACCUCCCCUCCUCUUGAAUCCUCUGUAAUGCUAGUGCCAUAGAAGCUAAAAAUCUGGCUUAAAAAUCAUGAGGAUUUUUCCUCUUUCAUCUGAAUUGCAUCCAUUUUAUUUUCCUGCUAGUCCUGGAGACUUGCAGAGGGUGGGAAAAAGUGG